CGCCUGAAAAUACAAGAAGGCCCUCUGGUCACCUCCCACCCGUGUUUUUCGUACCCUUGUUGCUUCGGCGGGCCCGCCUCACGGGGUUGGGGGGCAUCCGCCCCCGGGCCCGCGCCCGCCGAAGACACACAAACGAACUCUUGUCUGAAGAUUGCAGUCUGAGUACUUGACUAAAUCAGUUAAAACUUUCAACAACGGAUCUCUUGGUUCCGGCAUCGAUGAAGAACGCAGCGAAAUGCGAUAAGUAAUGUGAAUUGCAGAAUUCAGUGAAUCAUCGAGUCUUUGAACGCACAUUGCGCCCCCUGGUAUUCCGGGGGGCAUGCCUGUCCGAGCGUCAUUGCUGCCCUCAAGCACGGCUUGUGUGUUGGGCUCUCGCCCCCCGCUUCCGGGGGGCGGGCCCCGAAAGGCAGCGGCGGCACCGCGUCCGGUCCUCGAGCGUAUGGGGCUUCGUCACCCGCUCUGUAGGCCCGGCCGGCGCCCGCCGGCGAACACCAUCAAUCUUAACCAGGUUGACCUCGGAUCAGGUAGGGAUACCCGCUGAACUUAAGCAUAUCAAUAAGCGGAGGAA
rnacentral:rRNA from 1 species